UACGAAGGGGGCUAGCGUUGCUCGGAAUCACUGGGCGUAAAGGGUGCGUAGGCGGGUCUUUAAGUCAGGGGUGAAAUCCUGGAGCUCAACUCCAGAACUGCCUUUGAUACUGAAGAUCUUGAGUUCGGGAGAGGUGAGUGGAACUGCGAGUGUAGAGGUGAAAUUCGUAGAUAUUCGCAAGAACACCAGUGGCGAAGGCGCUCACUGGCCCGAUACUGACGCUGAGGUGCGAAAGCCAGGGGAGCAAAGCGGG
rnacentral:rRNA from 1 species